GCGGGCGUAGCUCAGGUGGUAGAGCGCGGAUAUGGGGGUUUGACAAAAUCCUUUACUGCAAUCAUUUUGCUGGCUAAGCGCGAGGUCGCAGGUUCGAGUCCUGCCGCCCGCA
rnacentral:tRNA from 1 species